UACGAAGGGGGCUAGCGUUGGCUCGGAAUCACUGGGCGUAAAGGGCGCGUAGGCGGCUUUGUAAGUCGGGGGUGAAAGCCUGUGGCUCAACCACAGAACUGCCUUCGAUACUGCAUGGCUUGAGACCGGAAGAGGUUAGUGGAACUGCGAGUGUAGAGGUGAAAUUCGUAGAUAUUCGCAAGAACACCAGUGGCGAAGGCGGCUGACUGGUCCGGAUCUGACGCUGAGGCGCGGAAAGCGUGGGGAGCAAACAGG
rnacentral:rRNA from 1 species